rnacentral:tRNA from 1 species
AGGGCUGUCGUUCAAUGGUAAGGACACCGAUUUCAUACGUCGAUAACGAUGGUUCAAUUCCAUCCAGCCCCA